rnacentral:rRNA from 1 species
GACGAACGCUGGCGGUGUGCUUAACACAUGCAAGUCGAACGGUAAGGCCCUUUCGGGGGUACACGAGUGGCGAACGGGUGAGUAACACGUGAGUAACCUGCCCUCAUCUCUGGGAUAACAGUCGGAAACGGUUGCUAAUACUGGAUAUGAGCUUGCAAGGCAUCUUGUGGGUUGGAAAGAUUUUUUUUGGUUGGGGAUGGACUCGCGGCCUAUCAGCUUGUUGGUGAGGUAGUGGCUCACCAAGGCUUCGACGGGUAGCCGGCCUGAGAGGGCGACCGGUCACAUUGGGACUGAGAUACGGCCCAAACUCCUACGGGAGGCAGCAGUGGGGAAUAUUGCACAAUGGACGGAAGUCUGAUGCAGCAACGCCGCGUGCGGGAUGACGGCCUUCGGGUUGUAAACCGCUUUCAAUUGUGACGAAGCUUUUUUGUGACGGUAGCAGUAGAAGAAGCACCGGCUAACUACGUG